rnacentral:rRNA from 1 species
CUGCUAUCGGAUGAUACUAAGCCAUGCGAGUCUUUGUAGUAAUACAAGGCAGACGGCUCAGUAACACGUAGUCAACCUACCCUAUGGACAAGAAUAAUCUCGGGAAACUGGGCAUAAUUCUUGAUAGAUCAUAAUGCCUGGAAUGGUUUAUGGUUAAAAUGAUUCGUCGCCAUAGGAUGGGACUGCGGCCUAUCAGCUUGUUGGUGAGGUAAUGGCCCACCAAGGCGAUUACAGGUACGGGCUCUGAGAGGAGAAGCCCGGAGAUGGGUACUGAGACACGGACCCAGGCCCUAUGGGGCGCAGCAGGCGAGAAAACUUUGCAAUGUGCGAAAGCACGACAAGGUUAAUCCGAGUGAUUUCUGCUAAAGAAAUCUUUUGCCAGUCAUAAAACCACUGGUGAAUAAGGGGUGGGCAAGUUCUGGUGUCAGCCGCCGCGGUAAAACCAGCACCUCAAGUGGUCAGGAUGAUUAUUGGGCCUAAAGCAUCCGUAGCCGGCUUUGUAAGUUUUCGGUUAAAUCCAUGUGCUCAACGCAUGGGCUGCCGAAAAUACUGCAUGGCUAGGGAGUGGGAGGGGUAGACGGUACUCAGUAGGAAGGGGUAAAAUCCUUUGAUCUAUUGAUGACCACCUGUGGCGAAGGCGGUCUACCAGAACACGUUCGACGGUGAGGGAUGAAAGCUGGGGGAGCAAACCGGAUUAGAUACCCGGGUAGUCCCAGCUGUAAACGAUGCAGACUCGAUGAUGCAUUGGCAUAAUAGCCAGUGCAGUGUCGCAGGGAAGCCGUUAAGUCUGCCGCCUGGGAAGUACGUACGCAAGUAUGAAACUUAAAGGAAUUGGCGGGGAGCACCAC